GAGCUAGAAAAUCUUUUUUAAAGCUGCAGGAACUGGCUUCUGGUUUGAGGAGGUCAUGUUGGAAGCUGGUGUGGAGCACACACGUAUGGUCUGGUACACUUGAAGUCGCCCUAUCUCCUUUUUUGAGGACAGGAAGAGAACAUUUUUAAAGAUAUGUUCCAAAGGCAGAAGCCAAGGGAAAACAUUUCAAGACUUGACCACAGACUCUGAAAGAAACACUUACCUCUUUAGAGCUGUUUGGGUUUAAUUAAGUACUAACAUAGAGAAAGACAAGAUGAUAUAAUUAUUACCUCCCAUUGAAAUCCCUUGCUAAACUGUUAAGCUGUCACAGGGGGUCCGUUACCAUUCACUUCGGUAAUAAAACUAUUUGCGUUGGAUUUUU